UUAUGUGAUCAAAGCACCCUGAAUAUGCCAAUCACAGCUGAUUUUGGAAGCUAAGAAGCGUUGGGCCUUGUUAGAAAUCGGAUGAAGGAUCCCAAGGAAAUACCAGAGACCCGCAGGUA
rnacentral:rRNA from 1 species